rnacentral:rRNA from 1 species
AUUGAACGCUGGCGGCGUGCCUUACACAUGCAAGUCGAAACGAGAAAGUUCCUUCGGGGACGAGUAAAGUGGCGCACGGGUGAGUAACGCGUGGAUAAUCUACCGAGAAGUUUGGAAUAACGGCUGGAAACGGUCGCUAAUACUGGAUACGCAGCAUAUUUAUCUAUGUUGGAAAGGGGGCCUCUGUAUAUGCUCUCGCUUUUUGAUGAGUCCGCGUACCAUUAGCUAGUUGGUGGGGUAAUGGCCCACCAAGGCGACGAUGGUUAACUGGUCUGAGAGGAUGAUCAGUCACACCGGGACUGGAACACGGCCCAGACUCCUACGGGAGGCAGCAGUGGGGAAUAUUGCACAAUGGACGAAAGUCUGAUGCACGCGACGCCGCGUGAGGGAUGAAGGUCUUCGGAUCGUAAACCUCUGUCAAUGGGGAAGAAAAGCUACUGUGCUAAUCAGCAGUAGUCUGACGGUACCCAUAAAGGAAGGACCGGCUAACUCCGUGCCAGCAGCCGCGGUAAUAC